AUUGAACGCUGGCGGCAUGCUUUACACAUGCAAGUCGAACGGUAACAGGUUAAGCUGACGAGUGGCGAACGGGUGAGUAAUGCAUCGGAACGUGCCCGAUCGUGGGGGAUAACGCAGCGAAAGCUGCGCUAAUACCGCAUACGAUCUGAGGAUGAAAGCGGGGGACCGUAAGGCCUCGCGCGAUCGGAGCGGCCGAUGACAGAUUAGGGAGUUGGUGGGGUAAAGGCUCACCAAGCCAACGAUCUGUAGCUGGUCUGAGAGGACGACCAGCAACACUGGGACUGAGACACGGCCCAGACUCCUACGGGAGGCAGCAGUGGGGAAUUUUGGACAAUGGGCGAAAGCCUGAUCCAGCAAUGCCGCGUGCAGGAAGAAGGCCUUCGGGUUGUAAACUGCUUUUGUACGGGGCGAAAAGGCCCUCUCUAAUACAGUGGGCUCAUGACGGUACCGUAAGAAUAAGCACCGGCUAACUACGUGCCAGCCGCCGCAGUAA
rnacentral:rRNA from 1 species